GUUUGAUAAUGUGCACCUGCUCAAUAGUUAGCUAACUAGCUAAUAUUAGGAGUUUUGGCUUGAAGAAGGAUUUUUAGUCAGGUUCAGUUUGAUAAUGUGCACCUGCUCAAUAGUUAGCUAGCUAGCUAAGGAGUUUUGGCUUGAAGGAUUUUUUGUUAGGUUCAGUUUGAUAAUGUGCUCCUGCUCAAUAGUUAGCUAGCUAGCUAACAUUAGGAGUUUUGUGCUUGAAGAAGGAUUUUUAGUUAGGUUCAGUUUGAUAAUGUGCACCUGCUCAAUAGUUAGCUAGCUAGCUAACAUUAGGAGUUUUGGCUUGAAGAAGGAUUUUUAGUUAGGUUCAGUUUGAUAAAGUGCACCAGCUCAAUAGUUAGCUAGCUAGUUAAGGAGUUUUGGCUUGAAGAAGAUUUUUUGUUAUGUUCAGUUUGAUCAUGUUCACCUGCUCAAUAGUUAGCUAGCUAGCUAACAUUACGAGUGUUUGCUUGAAGAAGGAUUUUUUGUUAGGUUCAGUUUGUUAAUGUGCACUUGCUCCAUAGUUAGCUAGCUAGCUAACAUUAGCUUGCUAACUGAGCCAGGCAGUCACACACAAUUCAUAUGAAACUAAUAGGGUUGGUAAGUACAUAUGGUGACAACAUUUAAUAUACCCAAAUGAGGGACAACAGGAUGAUUUUUGCAGGACAUUUGCGGGACAGUGUAUAGCCUACAUGGAACUUUUUUGGGGCAGGGCAGCACAUAAAACCCCCCACAAAAUACCCUCAAACACCAAGUUAGGCAUACCACAUUUAAAAAUAGACCAUCAUCACUGUCAGUCGUGAAUGAUAAUUCUUCACGAUUUACCAGUGAAAUGUCCAAACUGCAUCUGUAUACCAAUCAUUUGAUCUCAAUCAGUUUCAUGGGAAUAUGCAUUAAGAUCUUCUUGGAUUACUGUUUCGUGACUAAAUUAGAGCUGAUGGUGUUAACAAACCUUCCUGUAUUUUGAGUUUUGGACACAUUAUCUUUUUUUUUACUAUUCAGCU
rnacentral:lncRNA from 1 species